CGUCGUCCUCCUCGGCCUCGUUUCGACUUCCGGCGCCUGCGGUUGUUCGUCCCCGGCUCGCUCCCCGGCGUCUGAUCGUGAGAGGAUGCGGUGAUUCGGUGGAGUUCACAGGAAAAAGGAGGAGACGAAGACCAGGGAAUGGGUACGGAGGUGCCGGUGGCGUGAGGAGCCUCGGUCGGCUAUGAGAGGAGGAGGAGGGGGGAUUCCCCUCUUUUUCUUCUCCGGUAGCAACCGGAGGAUCCCUCUCAGAUUCCGUCAGCUUUCCCCGGGAUCCUUCGCGAGGAUCAAGCCGCUCCUCUACUGGUGCCUGGCCUUCGCACUCCUCCUCCUCCUCCUCCUCUGCCGCCGCCCCUCUCACUCUUCCGGAACAUCCCUUUGUCCCGGGAAAGGUUACACUAUACUGAUUAACACAUGGAAGAGAAAUGACCUUCUGAAGCAAUCUGUUGUCCAUUAUGCUUCUUGUGUUGGAGUUGAAUCUAUUCACAUAGUGUGGAGUGAGCCUGAUCAACCUUCGGAUUCCUUAUGCGAUGCUUUGUGGCAAGCUGCACAACUAAAUUCAAGAGGUUGCAAUGGUACUGAGCUAAGAUUCGACUUAAAUGAAGAAGACAGUCUAAACAACAGGUUCAAGGAAAUCAUGGAUUUGGAGACAGAUGCUAUCUUUUCAAUCGAUGAUGAUGUUCUAUUUCCUUGUGCUUCAGUAGAGUUGGCUUUCAGAGUCUGGCAAAGCGCCCCUACCACGAUGGUAGGAUUUGUACCUCGUAUGCAUCGGCUGGAUAGGAUGAAUUUCUUCUUUAGUUCAAAAAUUCCUGUCCAGAAAGGGAAUGAGGAAUACUAUAGGUAUGGAGGGUGGUGGUCCGUUUGGUGGAUGGGCACUUAUAGUAUGGUCCUCUCGAAGGCAGCAUUUUUCCACAGGAGGUAUCUCAAUCUUUACACAAACCACAUGCCUGCAUCUAUUCGUCAUUACGUAACCAAAUAUAGGAACUGUGAAGACAUUGCAAUGUCAUUCCUUGUCGCAAACACAACAGGUUCUCCUCCUAUAUGGGUGAAAGGAUGUGGAUCGCAAAUUGAUGAUGUUAAAUUGGAUUUUAUAUUAGUCAAACGGAUUCGGAUUCUGUUCUCAUUCCCAAUGGGCUGGGCCAAGAAACCUUUCGGCCGACAUCGGCAUUGGAUGCAGCGGCCUUUUAAUGGACAAUGUCGCGGACAAAUCUUGAAUAGCUUCUUAUCCGUUCUCUUCCAUCUCUCGCUCGCUCUCGCCCUCACGAUGGCGCUUCUCACCCUGGGACUGGAGAUGGGCGCCGCUCCCGUCGCCGUCGCCGUGGCCGCCUCGCGCCUCUCCUUCUCGCGGAGCGGGAGCCUCGUGGGUUCGUCCUCUGUCGUCUCCCUGUCUCUUCUGUCGGCCUCGACGCCCCUCACCUCCGCGCACGCUCCUCCUCCUUCCCUCUCCAUUAACUGCGGCAGAGGCGAUAAGAAGACCGCGAAAGGGAAGCGGUUCAAGCAUUCCUUCGGAAACGCGCGGCCUCGGGACAAGACGAAGGGGAGAGGUCCGCCGCGGUCUCCGGUGCCGCCCUCGCCGCCUAAGAAGGACCGUUUCGAUGAUGGAGAGAUCGUCAAGAUCGAAAUCGAUGAGUCCCUCUUCUCCUAGCUCUUCUGAACAUUGCUUUUCUCGAUCUGUACUUCCUCGUGUAGCUUUUUCUGCAAGUCGGAUUGCCUAAUCUUAACUCGUUGAACUUUCUCUGAUAUUUGCAUCUACCGAUGAAGACGUUGAAAUUUACGAUCGCAACACCCCCUUUUUG